rnacentral:lncRNA from 1 species
UUUUUCUAAAAAGUUUUGGUUGGAGGGAGGAGAUGGGAGAGGUGAAAGUGAACUCUCCAUUAGGCUAUUAAAUUUCUGGAUUCUGACUAGCUUGUUUGUAGGUGUGGUUUUGGAUCUUUACCAAAGUGCAGAAAUUUUGCUGAUUUGGUGCUUGCUGGGUCACCAUACAUGCUGCUCUGGAAGGGCAGAGCUCUGUGCAAGGAAAAAAAACAAGGUGAAGACUUGCCCCAGAGCAGGAAGACCAGAUAGACAUCUGAGGAGGAGACACUGCAAAAGAUAAGGACCGGAGUGACAUCUGGAUCUGAGUGAACAUCCAUUUCCUCUCCUAUGUAAUGUAAGAGUGUGCCAGCUUCAUCAAAUGUGGACAUACCAGUUAUUCAUGUAUCAGAAAUACUGAGAAACACUCUUUCUUUCCAGGCUAAGUGAUGCAUGUGAUAAGCUUACCUGCAAAUCAUAAUAUGUUUCUGUAAAUAUGGUCAAUAAAUGGAUUUAUCCUCACUGUUAAGUAUCUUAA